ensembl:misc_RNA Metazoa_SRP Metazoan signal recognition particle RNA
GCUGAGUGCAAUGGUACACAUAUGUCCUGGCUAUCAGGGAGGUGGGAGCUGGUAGAACUCUUGAGCUCAGGAGUUCUGAGUUACUAUGGGCUAUGCUGAUCAGGUAUCCAUGCUAUGUCCAGUAUUAAUAUGGUGAGCUCUCAGAAGUAGAGUGGCUAUCAAGUUUCCUAAAGAGGGGUCAAGUGGCCCAGGUCAAAAACAAAGCAGGGCAAAGUCCCUUUUGUUAAUCAGUAGUAGAACUAGGUCUGUGACUAGUCAUUGUAUUUUUAGCCUGAAUGAGAUAGGGAGUCCUAAUCUUU